rnacentral:hammerhead_ribozyme from 1 species
GUUCAACUGACGGGUCCCGAACAGGAUGAAACGUGCGUCCUGGAU